GAAGCAGCCAAAGCUCAAAUUUGAAAGCUCCUAACAAGGCGCAUUGUAAUUUGAAGAUGGUAUUCCGAGUUAGUCCUUUACCUCAGUUCCUUGGAACAGGACGCCAUAGAGGGUGAGAGCCCCGUGUGGUAUUGGUAGCUUUCUCAUGUGGUUUACCUUCGAAGAGUCGAGUUGUUUGGGAAUGCAGCUCUAAGUGGGUGGUAAAUUCCAUCUAAAGCUAAAUAUUGGCGAGAGACCGAUAGCGAACAAGUACUGUGAAGGAAAGAUGAAAAGAACUUUGAAAAGAGAGUGAAAAAGUACGUGAAAUUGUUGAAAGGGAAGGGAAUUGGACUAGACUUGGAUUUCUGUUAUCAGCAGUCUUUCGGGGCUGUGCACUAGCAGUUUUCUAGGCCAGGAUCUGUUUGGAGGCCAGGAUAAAACCCAAAGAAUGUGGCUCUUCGGAGUGUUAUAGCUUUGGUUGAAUACUGGCAUUCUGGACAGAGGACCGCGCU
rnacentral:rRNA from 1 species